AUUGAACGCUGGCGGAAGGCUUAACACAUGCAAGUCGAACGAGUGGAGGACGGGUGAGUAAUGCUUGGGAAUCUAGCUUAUGUAGGGGGAUCACUACGGUAAACUGUAGCUAAUACAGAGUACCAUAGGAUGAGCCCAAGUGGGAGUAGGUAGUCGGUGAGGUAAAGGCUCAACCAGCCGACGCGCGCUAGAUGGUCUGCGAGGAAGACAAGCCACACUGGGACUGAGACACGGCCCAGACUCCUACGUGAGGCAGCAGUGGGGAAUAUGGCGCAAUGGGGGCAACCUGACGCAGCCAUGCCGAUGGAAUGAAGAAGGCCUGCGGGUUGUAAAGUUCUGUCGUUAGCGAGGCGUUAACUACAGAAGAAUCACCGGCUAACUCCGUGCCAGCCGCCGCGGUAAUUC
rnacentral:rRNA from 1 species